UCAUCCAACAUGAUUUAAGUCGAUAGAUUUACAAUAUUUCGAAAACUUUUACAAACAAACAACACAAGAGUACAGCCAUGUUUCAAAAUGGUUAAACAAAAUUUGCAUAAAUGAAAAUCAAAAUUAAAAUGGGUCAAAUAGUCGACAAAAAGUCUUCCACUAAAAUGUCUAAGAGCGGAUCUGGUAUAAAGAAAUCAUCAGGCGGCGUUAAAGGGAACAAAAAGAAUGAAAUAGAUUUCUGUGAUCCUAAGGUGCAAGGUGUACUUUUAGUGGGGCUCCUCGCUGUACUGGCACUGGCUCUAUGGUUUGGAUUUACGAGUGGGUGCUUGGGCAACCGUCGACGUCGAAGAAGAAGAUCUUGUUGUUGAAAACUUCCCACCCAAAACGGAAACGGUUAUCACAUGCAGGGCGCUGAACGAGCAUGUGAUACGAGCCGAGCUCUAUAGACUGUUGAAAAUGAUUACAUUAUGCGAUCGCCAUGGCAUGCAAACAGUAUCAAACUAAUAGUGCUUCCAUCCAACUGGACAAUCAAGAAGUAAUCUUCAUCCGUAGCUGAAAAACAAAAUUAAUUAAUUAAAAGAAACAUUAUAUAAAUAACACUUGUUAUAUCAUCUUUAACACGUUAAUUUAAAUAAAAUGUAUCAAAACACUUGCAUU